UCUGGAGGACCAAGAAGGUGGAAUCUGAUGCAGCAAGACUACUGAUACAAUCCUUCCAGAAAAAAGGAUUAGAGAGAGUAGCCAUUACUGGAGAAUAUCACAGGGUUGCCUGUACUAUACAACAUUG